rnacentral:rRNA from 1 species
UACGUAGGCAGCGAGCGUUGUUCGGAAUUACUGGGCGUAAAGGGUGUGUAGGCGGUUCUUUAAGUUUGGUGUGAAAUCUCCCGGCUCAACCGGGAGGGUGCGCCGAAAACUGGGGGACUAGAGUGCGGGAUGGGAGAGUAGAAUUCCAGGUGUAGCGGUGAAAUGCGUAGAUAUCUGGAGGAACACCGGUGGCGAAGGCGACAUCCUGGACCGGUAUUGACGCUGAGGCGCGAAAGCCAGGGGAGCAAACGGG